UCUAAAAUCACUCUGUGGUCCUAGUCAAAAGACCCCAAGAGCAGGCAGCCGGAAGCCUCCGCGCAGUAAGUGCGGGACUCACGCUUCACACGCCGCACUCUGUUCUGGCACCCGGACCGGAUACUUACCUUGUUGUCCAAGCCACUAGAGUAGAAAUGAGGUGAGAACAAGCGUCCAACAGCACCAUUUUCUAUACAAAGGAUACUUAAGGCAGACUAGUGGAAGUAGGAGCAGGAGCCCGGCAAAGCCGCAGUUGGAGCCGAGAGACUGUGUCUGCAUAUAUCACACUAAACUGCUUGAGCAGCUACACACUUGCAGUGGACAGAAACUGCAGCUGAAUUUCUUUCAUUGGAGCCUGGGAAUUACAGCCUAAUGUGUAUAGCUGAACUUUGCUGAAGCACUGAGCUCUGAUUAAUGCAGUAAAAUGAAUAAAAAGCAUGGCAUGGUGGGAACAGAAACAACUAUGGUGUAUUUUACCUAAGAGUCUAGAAAGCUUGGAUUCAAUUUGUGCUUCUAUGGCAUUCUAGCUGCAGAACAUUUGG